GAUGAACGCUGGCGGCGUGCCUAAUACAUGCAAGUCGAGCGAACAGACGAGGAGCUUGCUCCUCUGACGUUAGCGGCGGACGGGUGAGUAACACGUGGAUAACCUACCUAUAGGACUGGGAUAACUUCGGGAACCCGGAGCUAAUACCGGAUAAUAUAUUGAACCGCAUGGUUCAAUAGUGAAAGACGGUUUUGCUGUCCCUUAUAGAUGGAUCCGCGCCGCAUUAGCUAGUUGGUAAGGUAACGGCUUACCAAGGCGACGAUGCGUAGCCGACCUGAGAGGGUGAUCAGCCACACUGGAACUGAGACACGGUCCAGACUCCUACGGGAGGCAGCAGUAGGGAAUCUUCCGCAAUGGGCGAAGGCCUGACGGAGCAACGCCGCGUGAGUGAUGAAGGUCUUCGGAUCGUAAAACUCUGUUAGUAGGGAAGAACAAAUGUGUAAGUAACUAUGCACGUCUUGACGGUACCUAAUCAGAAAGCCACGGCUAACUACGUG
rnacentral:rRNA from 1 species